GUUGAUGUUGGUGCAGUGGUAGAGCACUCGCUUGUCAAGUGAGGAUCCGUUGGUUUGAUCCCUGCCAUAAGCA
rnacentral:tRNA from 1 species